GCGGACAGCGGUUCCGCGUCGGGUUGAGUGCCCAGCGACAGGCACGUGGCAGACGGUCUCCUUCCCCAGGACCCCGACUUCCCUCCCUGCCCAGGUCCGGUCAUGUGUUGAAUCUGCCCGGCUGUCGGGACGGAUGUGGAAAGAAUGCGGGGCGGCGGGGCGGCGGACGUGGAGAGCGGCCUGCAGAUAGCACCCCAUUAGAGUGAUAAAGGAGCCGCUGCUGCACUGACUGACGGCGAGGUUCUAUUUAAACACCAACACAGAAACCAAGAGACGACAACACGCAGGCCAAGAGACGACAACACGACCCGCGCGCAAAUCGCACCCUCCUAUUUCCCUAAUCUGCACCACUUCUUGUUGGUUUGCUGUUUUCUUCCCUUUCUCCAUUUUGGUUUCAUUUAAGUCUCGCCACCAGUCCGGAAUACACAGGAAAUUGAACAUUUCAUUGAAAUUGAACUGCCUGCAAUUCAGGUCUUCAUUUUCAGUUGUUAUUUCCUCAGAAAGUCUCAACGUAAUAUUUAAGAAGCGAAAAUGCAGAGCCUAAUGUCUGCUACAAAACCGUGUUCCACUCCUGCCUGAUACAGGUCAUGUCUGAAUUUGUUGAACGCUCAGAACUCAGAACUCCGUCUGGUCCCGGCUCUGGACAAACGGCACCUUGCCCGUGAUAUGAAUGUUAAUUGAUGCCGCAAGGAAAUGAAAAAAAUAAAAAUCUAUUUUUACCAUAA